rnacentral:rRNA from 1 species
AACGACUGCUAAGACUGGAUAGGAGACAAGAAGGCAUCUUCUUGUUUUUAAAAGACCUAGCAAUAGGUAUGCUUAGGGAGGAGCUUGCGUCACAUUAGUUAGUUGGUGGGGUAAAGGCCUACCAAGACUAUGAUGUGUAGCCGGGCUGAGAGGUUGAACGGCCACAUUGGGACUGAGACACGGCCCAAACUCCUACGGGAGGCAGCAGUAGGGAAUUUUCGGCAAUGGAGGAAACUCUGACCGAGCAACGCCGCGUGAACGAUGAAGUAUUUCGGUACGUAAAGUUCUUUUAUUAGGGAAGAAUAAAUGAUGGAAAAAUCAUUCUGACGGUACCUAAUGAAUAAGCCCCGGCUAACUAUGUGCCAGCAGCCGCAGUAAUACAUAGGGGGCAAGCGUUAUCCGGAAUUAUUGGGCGUAAAGGGUGCGUAGGCGGUUAAAUAAGUUUAUGGUCUAAGUGCAAUGCUCAACAUUGUGAUGCUAUAAAAACUGUUUAGCUAGAGUAAGAUAGAGGCAAGUGGAAUUCCAUGUGUAGUGGUAAAAUGCGUAAAUAUAUGGAGGAACACCAGUAGCGAAGGCGGCUUGCUGGGUCUUUACUGACGCUGAGGCACGAAAGCGUGGGGAGCAAACAGGAUUAGAUACCCUGGUAGUCCACGCCGUAAACGAUGAGUACUAAACGUUGGGUAAAACCAGUGUUGAAGUCAACACAUUAAGUACUCCGCCUGAGUAGUACGUACGCAAGUAUGAAACUUAAAGGAAUUGACGGGACUCCGCACAAGCGGUGGAUCAUGUUGUUUAAUUCGAAGGUACCCGAAAAACCUUACCAGGUCUUGACAUGCUUCUGCAAAGCUGUAGAAACACAGUGGAGGUUAUCAGUUGCACAGGUGGUGCAUGGUUGUCGUCAGCUCGUGUCGUGAGAUGUUGGGUUAAGUCCCGCAACGAGCGCAACCCUUAUUGUUAGUUACCAGCACGUAAUGGUGGGGACUUUAGCAAGACUGCCAGUGAUAAAUUGGAGGAAGGUGGGGACGACGUCAAGUCAUCAUGCCCCUUAUGACCUGGGCUACAAACGUGAUACAAUGGCUGUUACAAAGGGUAGCUGAAGCGCAAGUUUUUGGCGAAUCUCAAAAAAACAGUCUCAGUUCGGAUUGAAGUCUGCAACUCGACUUCAUGAAGUUGGAAUCGCUAGUAAUCGCGAAUCAGCAUGUCGCGGUGAAUACGUUCUCGGGGUUUGUACACACCGCCCGUCAAUCA